AAACAAGCAAGCAAUAACCAACACCAAAGAAACAACAGAAAUAAAGACCUAUAAUAGAAUAAGAUAAACAACAACACAGACAUAACAAAUAAAGGCAAAACAAAAGCACACAAUUACCAACACCACCGAGAUAACACAAACAAAGACAAAAACAUGUACGCUAUAUCGAACAUCACUGAGAAAACUCAACCAAAGACAAAAACAAGCACGCAAUAACCAACACCUCCGAAACAAUACAAGGAGACCAUAGAAACAAAACAAAAAACUAAAGCGUUAUUACUAACAUGGCCAAUACAAC
rnacentral:lncRNA from 1 species